CGUGGUGAAGUUAACACUCCGUCUGUGAUGUCACAGUCGUUCCCAUGACAACAGGUUUAUGACUUCAGUGUAAAGUCAAAUAGAAGGAGAAGCUCAGGGACAUGAAGGAAAGCUCGUAUUCAAAUCAGAAACAUCUGACACAACAACAGAGAAGAGAAAUGGCCAAGAAGGGGAACUGUUAAAACUGUGGCUUUCCAUACUUAGCAAAAGAGGCUUUCAAAGAAGAAAAUUAAAAAAAAACAAGCCCACAUCAAAGAUUUUUGAAGCAUGGAUUAAAAAAAAAUGAUGCAAGAAGGCAAAGCUGUUAUGGAAUAGAAGUCUUCCCAUGGAUUAAGGUGUCACCAAGGCACGGACCACAAAGUGCCACUGAUAUAGCUUGGUGUUUGUCCAGCGUGGGAGCUUUCUCAGGAGCUAUCCUUCCUGGAGUCUCAGUAUAAUCCAGGCACCAUGGAGGCAACUCUUCUCUGAGCAGCGCAGGAGGAAGCAGGAGUACCAGCUGCAAUGCUGCAGCCUCCCCCCAAGACCACUGCCCUCACCAUUGCUGCCAAAGGGAAUGUCCAUUUGUCCUAAAUGAGAAGGUGUUUAGGGCAUGGGUUGGACUUCAUGAUCUUGAAGGUCUCUUCCGAGCUAGUUAUUCUGUGAUUCUGUGAUUAUCCAGCAAAGCACCCUCAGACAGAAGUAACCUCAGGCCUACAAGUGAUGCUGGGACUACUCACAAGCUCAGAGAUACACAUGGGCUUUGUCAUGAAGGGAGUCUCAAGAAGGAGGAUAUAUCCUGAGACCAAACGAGCGGGAAUGAAGAGCAUCCAGCCAGAUCCUGUUCAUUAGUGGCCAUCAAUUGUUUUUCUACUAAAAGUUGCCAGGACUUUAA